CCGACGUAAACUUUUCUUGUUCUAUUUCGUCAACUUAGAUCUCACAAGUUCUCGUCUAAGAAAUUCUUCUUUGUCAGUAAUGGAUGAAUUUUCAAGAAAAUGCUUUUGUGUAAUUGAUGAUCUGAACAGUAUUAUUCUCACUGAUACUACUCUCUUAAUCAUUCCAAUGAAACUAUCAGAAGAAGAAGAUGAAAAUCUAAUCUGGUUGAUGAUUCACUAGCACAAUGAUAUUUCCUCUCAAAACUCAACUGUACUACAUAAUCAUUGGCUUGUAUGCAUGUAUUAAGCUUGUGAAUAAAUCUUGAAGAGAUUUAUGAUAAGGUUCGGCAGGAGCGAGGGGAAACCUUUGAAUCUGCUUGCCCUCUUUUGAGAUGGCCUGGGUUUUUAAACAUGAGCUAGUGAAGCUCAUAGAGUUUUGACGCCUCAAAACUCAGAAGGAGAACUACAGUUAUUGCAAGAACAAGAGCAAGAAAAAACCAAAAAUGAAGUUGCUGCAUCUGAUCCGGGCAAUUGGCAUAUCAGUGAAAAUCAUGGCAAGGAUUUUUUUGUUAUUCAGACUGUAUACUACAGACUAGAGACCUGAAGAAGGGUAUGCUACUUUAUCAGUCUGUUCUCAUUGAAAAAACUAGUCUAAAAUUAUCAGGAAUCAUUAAUUUGAAUUGCACAGAACUUAAAGUUCUUUCGGAUGGCAGCACCAGGGAGUGGAUCCUGACUCGUGAUGCGAUAGACUGAGCAAUGUCUAAAAAAACCUCUGCAACAACUUUUCAGAAUUCAACGGGGUUAUGAUCCUGAAUUCUUAGACUACUGCUUUCAAUAAUACUGCUCAAGGGGUGGCACUCUAAGUUCUAUGUUGAUUUCAGAUUCUCUCAAUUCACGGAGUUCAAUAAAUUUCGCUGUUCAAUUUGGGAUUUUUAUUUUGAUAAGACCUAUUGGAGUCUAAAUGGUAAACAACUUGAUCUUGGAAGAAGAACCCCUGCAAUUCCGUAUGACUACGGUGUUCCUCUUGUUUUUAACAAAUUGAAACUGAAAUGAUAUCAUCUGUGAUUGAUUAUGGUUCACUAGUGAUGUGUUCUGCAGAGUAUAAUUUAAAAGACUGAGGGCACAAUUCCAAUGUAUCCUUCUGGUGGUGCAAAUGCUGGUCCUUAUAAACUCUUUCAGCUCAUACUUACCAAAUAAACGGA